rnacentral:sRNA from 1 species
UUGCGGCCUGGGUGGAAGCGGAAAUCCUUUUUCUGAAGGCCAGAUAAAAAAUACUGCAAAAAAGAGUGGGAACGCAGUGGAACUCCUUUUUUGCAGCUAUUUUUUCUGGAAAGCAGAAAAAGAUUGUAGCGAACAGCCAGAAUUGUC